ACGCACGCUGGCGGCGUGCUUAACACAUGCAAGUCGAACGGAAAGGCCCUGCUUUUGUGGGGUGCUCGAGUGGCGAACGGGUGAGUAACACGUGAGUAACCUGCCCUUGACUUUGGGAUAACUUCAGGAAACUGGGGCUGAUACCGGAUAGGAGCUCCUGCUGCAUGGUGGGGGUUGGAAAGUUUCGGCGGUUGGGGAUGGACUCGCGGCUUAUCAGCUUGUUGGUGGGGUAGUGGCUUACCAAGGCUUUGACGGGUAGCCGGCCUGAGAGGGUGACCGGCCACAUUGGGACUGAGAUACGGCCCAGACUCCUACGGGAGGCAGCAGUGGGGAAUAUUGCACAAUGGGCGGAAGCCUGAUGCAGCAACGCCGCGUGCGGGAUGACGGCCUUCGGGUUGUAAACCGCUUUCGCCUGUGACGAAGCGUGAGUGACGGUAAUGGGUAAAGAAGCACCGGCUAACUACGUG
rnacentral:rRNA from 1 species